rnacentral:rRNA from 1 species
UCCUACGGGAGGCAGCAGUGGGGAAUUUUGGACAAUGGGCGCAAGCCUGAUCCAGCAAUGCCGCGUGUGUGAAGAAGGCCUUCGGGUUGUAAAGCACUUUUGUCCGGAAAGAAAUUGCCCGGGUGAAUACCCCGGGUGGAUGACGGUACCGGAAGAAUAAGCACCGGCUAACUACGUGC